UCUGCUUCACAGCAAGUCCAAAAGGUGGAGCCCCCUGACCAUAAACUGAAGCAGUGACCCCAAAUGAGUCCUUGCUAUUAAAUCAUUUGUCUCAGCCAUUCAGAUACUCACAGGUCACUACACCCAUGAUCUAAGAGGAUGCGGCUAUUGCUUGAGCUGGCGUCACCCAUGUGAUGCUGGUUUUAUGAGAACGCACAAAGCAAGAGUGGUGGUGACCUCAUGGUUUCCACUUAGACUGGAAAGGGAAGUGUGGGAAGCCAAGCACUGUGUAGUAAGGACAACAUGACGUACUCCUCAUAUAAGCCAACGGAAGUGACUCUCGGGACGUUUCUACCGAGUACUUGUGUAAUUCAUCACAACUCAGAUUCAGAGAUGUCUGGUUGGUUCACUGAACUGCCAUAAUGCAAAAACCAGUCCCUCCUUCCUAUUCUGAAGGUAAAUGUCAUUUUUUUUAAUUAACUUUUUUUAAUUUUUUCUUUUUUGAGACAGGGUUUCUCUGUAGCUUUGGAGUCUGUCCUGGAACUAGCUUUUUUUUUUUUUUCUUUUAAUUUUAUUGAGCUCUACAUUUUUCUCUGCUCCCCUCCCUUCCUCUCCCCUUCCCUUCUUCCCUCUCCCAUGGUCCCCAUGCUCCCAAUUAACUCAGGAGAUCUAGUCUUUUUCUACUUCUCAUGUAGAUUAGAUCCAUGUAUGUCUCUC